UAAGUUCUUACACAGGAGCUGAGGGUGGUUGAGUCUAAGAGGGAGUCAGGCAGACAGGGCUGUCUCCAGAGGUUCCUGAGGUUGAGAAAAAAUAUAUAUACUUCAGGGGCUAAAGAAGCUUUAGGAAGUGUUAAUAAGAGCAGAUAGCCCACUCUAGCAAGGACUGGCUUUUUCUGUGCAGUUCUUUGAUUGAAAACCUUUGCAGUUGCCCUUAUCAAUGAGUGACAAGAAGUCUUUGGAUUACCAUCAACCUCUGCAUGGCUAGAAGCAUCUCCUUGCUAGAGGAAUAUACUGUAUACUGAAGAAUAAUUCCAGCAAAACAACUAUAAACCAAGUCAUGGCAAGGCAAGAGUGACCAACCAGAAAACCACGUCAUCCUUUAUACCGCUCCCAGAAAGGACACCGUAGCCCUAAAUAAAGACACUCAAGAAGAUCAACAUUACAGCCUCCAUUGAAGUGAGUGCCAGCCAAAUGUUUGUGAGAACCAAUUGAAGUUUGAUAAUUACAAAUGAAGUUUGGUUUUGCCCAGCUCAAUGUCUUCCUGGGCCAUCUUUCAAUUACACACAGAAAUCCUCACGUCUCUGGAGACCCAACAUGACUACAGAGUCUAUUCAUGUGUGUGAAGGAUUAAAAGCAUGGGUCU